rnacentral:rRNA from 2 species
CAUGUCCUUUUGAUUAUAAUUUAAGGUCUGAUCUGCUCAAUGAGUAGUUAAAUUGCCGCAGUAUUUUGACUGUGCAAAGGUAGCAUAAUAAUUAGCUUCUUGAUUAGGAGCUGGAAUGAAUGAUUGGACGAGAAAAUUACUGUCUCUUUUUAAAUUUUUAUUGAAUUUUAUUUUUAAGUCAAAAAGCUUAAAUUUUUAUAAAAGACGAGAAGACCCUAUAGAGUUUAAUGAUUUAAUUAUAUAACUUUUUAGAAAGUUUUUUUUAAUUAACUCAUUUAGUUGGGGUGACUAGAAGAUUAAUAUAAUUCUUUUUGUUUUUUUAUUGAUGAUUAUUAAUUAUUGUUUGUAAUUUUUUUAAAUUAAAAGAAAAUUACCUUAGGGAUAACAGCGUUAUUUUUCUUUAAAGUUCUUAUUAAAAGAAAAUUUUGCGACCUCGAUGUUGGAUUAAAAUUAAUUUUUGGUGCAGUAACUUAAAAAUUAGGUCUGUUCGACCUUUAAAAUUUUACAUGAUCUGAGUUUAGACCGGCGUGAGCCAGGUUGGAUUCUAUCUUUAGAAAUAUAAAAUAUUUUAGUACGAAAGGACCAAAUAUUUAUUUUAAUAAAUUG